AUGAGGGGAGGAAGGGAUGGAGCUGCGCUCGUGACAGCCGGUGCCGAGCGCUGGUGCGCAUCCCUCCCCCUGCGAGGAUGCAGCAGGGCCGCCCGUCCCUCUGCUGCAUCUCCGCCGUCCGCGGCUCGCGGGGUGCCCCUGAGCCAGGUGAGGGGGGCACGGGGCUGGGGGGGCGGCUGCGGGUGCACCCCAGGGUGGGGGUGCAGCCUCCUGCUCGGCAGAAAGAGGGGCGGAGGGGAUGGGGAGGCUCGCUUGGUUUUGGGGGGGAAGGACGGAUGCGCUGCUGGGGGUGGCACGGGGAGGAGAGGGGAGCUCGUGGCGGACCUGGGGGCUCCUCUCCCUCUGCCCUUCCCGUGCUCCGAUGUGCUAUGUGCGAGCCAUUUGUCCUGGCUCAGCACUCCCUCCUCUCACCUGCACCAGGAAUUUGGGGUCCCUGGUGCCGGGCUGGAGGAGCAGGAGGCUGGGGAGGUGCUGCUGGGGCUCUGGGCUGCACCACGGCCGCUGCAGCCCCGCCACGGAGCAGAGCCUCCGACGCUCCCUGCUCUGCCGUAUUCCAGGCUGGUUUCCCCCCAGCGGUUCCCCCCUCUCCCAUCUGCUCCCGCUCUGGCUCUCCUGCCUCGCCUCCAGCCCCGUUUGCUGGAGGAGGAGAUGCCCACGUCCGGCUGCUGCGUGAGCCCUGGUGCUCUGCGGUCCCCACGGGUCCCCCAGCCCAGCCCCGUGUCCCGCUGGUGCUCGGCAUCCCCGCGGGUCUCGGUUCCAUUUCCUUCCCGCAAAAUCCCCAGCUCAAGGGCGAGCCCUUGCCAAAUGAGACCGACUGAGCACAAAGUUUUAUGGUUAAGCCGUAAUUUCCUGACGGUGGGGUUAGCAGGGGACAGCUUGGUGGCGGUGCUGGGAAGGGGCGCUGCACCCGGAGCUGGGCGGCCGCUGUCUUCGGCUCCCAUCCGCGUCCCCAGCCUCGGUCCCCCCAGGGCAGCGAGGUCCAUGCUGGGAGCAGGGAGCUGCCCACAGCCCUGUGACACAGCCACAAGCUCUCCCUGCUCCGUUUUUAGCUGCUUUGUCUCCUGGUGA
rnacentral:lncRNA from 1 species